rnacentral:rRNA from 1 species
UACGUAGGUGGCAAGCGUUAUCCGGAAUUAUUGGGCGUAAAGAGCGCGCAGGUGGUUAAUUAAGUCUGAUGUGAAGGCCCACGGCUUAACCGUGGAGGGUCAUUGGAAACUGGUUGACUUGAGUGCAGAAGAGGGAAGUGGAAUUCCAUAUGUAGCGGUGAAAUGCGUAGAGAUAUGGAGGAACACCAGUGGCGAAGGCGGCUUCCUGGUCUGCAACUGACACUGAGGCGCGAAAGCGUGGGGAGCAAACAGG